rnacentral:rRNA from 1 species
AACUAUAACGGUCCUAAGGUAGCGAAAUUCCUUGUCAGGUAAGUUCUGACCCGCAUGAAAGGCGUAAUGAUUUGGGCACUGUCUCAACAGCCCGCCCGGCGAAAUUGUAGUACCGGUGAAGAUGCCGGUUACCCGCGACAAGACGGAAAGACCCCAUGGAGCUUUACUGUAGCCUAAUAUUGGGUUUCGAUGUUGCAUGCACAGGAUAGAUGGGACUCUGGGAAACCAAGGCUUUGGCUUUGGCGGAGAGGCCGUUGGGAUACCAUCCUUGCGAUAUUGGAAUUCUAACCUGCGGCUCUGAAUCGAGUCGGGGGACAUUGUUAGGUGGGCAGUUUGACUGGGGCGGUCGCCUCCUAAAGAGUAACGGAGGCGUUCAAAGGUUCGCUCAGCUUGAACGGAAAUCAAGCAAAAGAGUGCAAACGCAGAAGCGAGCCUAACUGCGAGACUGACGGGUCGAGCAGUAACGAAAGUUGGAGUUAGUGAUCCGGUGGUAUGUGAGUGGAAAUGCCAUCGCUCAACGGAUAAAAGUUACCCUGGGGAUAACAGGCUGAUCUCCCCCAAGAGUCCACAUCGACGGGGAGGUUUGGCACCUCGAUGUCGGCUCAUCGCAUCCUGGGGCUGUAUUCGGUCCCAAGGGUUUGGCUGUUCGCCAAUUAAAGCGGUACGCGAGCUGGGUUCAGAACGUCGUGAGACAGUUCGGUCCCUAUCUGUCGUGGGCGCAGGAUAUUUGAUGGGAGCUGUCCCUAGUACGAGAGGACCGGGACGGACGUACCUCUGGCGCACCAGUUGUUCCGCCAGGAGCAUAGCUGGGCAACUACGUACGGAUCGGAUAAACGCUGAAAGCAUCUAAGCGUGAAGCCGACCCAAAGAUAAGAUAUCCCAUUGUUUCAAACAAGUAAGACCCCUUGAAGACUACAAGGUUGAUAGGCACGAUGUGUAAGUGGAGUGAUCCAUUCAGCAAGCGUGUACUAAUAGGUCGAGGGCUUGACCAC